rnacentral:rRNA from 1 species
GACGAACGCUGGCGGCGUGCUUAACACAUGCAAGUCGAACGGGAGUAUUGAAGAAGCUUGCUUUAGAGAUACUUUAGUGGCGGACGGGUGAGUAACGCGUGAGAAGCUGUCCUAUGCAGGGGGACAACAGCUGGAAACGGCUGCUAAUACCCCAUAAGCCGAGAGGUAAAAGGAUCAAUCCGGCAGAGGAGGUACUCGCGUCCUAUCAGCUAGUAGGUGAGGUAACGGCUCACCUAGGCGAAGACGGGUAGCCGGCCUGAGAGGGCGAACGGCCACACUGGAACUGAGAUACGGUCCAGACUCCUACGGGAGGCAGCAGUGGGGAAUAUUGGGCAAUGGGGGAAACCCUGACCCAGCGACGCCGCGUGGGUGAAGAAAUCCUUCGGGAUGUAAAGCCCUGUUGUAUGGGAAGAGCGGAAGACGGUACCAUACGAGGAAGCCCCGGCAAACUACGUG